GACGAAGGGGGGCUAGCGUUGUUCGGAAUUACUGGGCGUAAAGCGAGUGUAGGCGGUUGCCCCAAGUCAGGUGUGAAAGCCUUGAGCUCAACUCAAGAAAUGCGCUUGGUACUGGGUGGCUAGAGGACCGGAGAGGAUAGUGGAAUUCCCAGUGUAGUGGUGAAAUACGUAGAGAUUGGGAAGAACACCAGUGGCGAAGGCGGCUAUCUGGACGGUUACUGACGCUAAGACUCGAAAGCGUGGGGAGCAAACAGG
rnacentral:rRNA from 1 species